rnacentral:lncRNA from 1 species
CCCUCUGUUUAGUUAGUGGAAUUGAGAACAAGGCCCAGGUGGAUGAUUGAGGACUAAACCCCAAACUUGCCUUGGAUCACUCCACUGUUUCAGGACAUCAAGGGCUCCAGACAUUGAGAAAUUUUCCCUUUAAGUUGCGAUGGGAAUCCAGAAAACGCCAUAUGGACCCCUCUAUGCUGUGAAAUACUUCAGUACUCAGGAGAAGUCACGUUCUGGUUGCUGCAAGCGUGUGAUACCCUGUCAUUAAAAUAAGAAAUAGAUUGUUAUCCUCUG